AACCCCCGCCUAUGGGCAAAGAGACACCUGAUUGGUGGUGAUGGUGGUACUCUUAAUCAGUCAGUGGCCGAGCAGCCAUGUAGUCCUUAGUUCAUCCUAGCUUGAUGCUUGCCUUGUGGCCAGAGCUGUUUUAUGCCUAAGGCACAUAA